rfam:Clostridium disporicum strain 2789STDY5834856 genome assembly, contig: SCcontig000007
UAAAUCCUGAGAUGUGCGCUUAGCUUAUAAUAUUCAACCUACAUUAUAUUUACGGGAUUUGCAAUAGAUUUAUAGAUGUCGGGCUUCAUUUAACAUUAGAAGAUGGCAGAAGUAAAUUGCGCGAAACCCACCUGCGAGUUGCAGGUGUGAGUAUAUAAGUGACCGGCAUGUCGGGACAUGA